UACAGAGGUGGCAAGCGUUGUUCGGAAUUACUGGGCGUAAAGGGCGAGUAGGCGGCCUUCUAAGUCAGACGUGAAAUCCCCCGGCUUAACCUGGGAACUGCGUCUGAUACUGGGAGGCUAGAGUAUGGGAGAGGGAUGUAGAAUUCCAGGUGUAGCGGUGAAAUGCGUAGAUAUCUGGAGGAACACCGGUGGCGAAGGCGGCAUCCUGGACCGGCAUUGACGCUGAGGCGCGAAAGCCAGGGGAGCAAACGGG
rnacentral:rRNA from 1 species